GAUGAACGCUAGCGGCAGGCCUAAUACAUGCAAGACGAACGGUAAGGUUUUUAGCAAUAAGAAUCCUAGAGUGUCGUAAGGGUGCGUAACACGUAUGCAAUCUGCCCUCAACAGGAGGAUAGCUCCCCGAAAGGGGAAUUAACACUCCGUAAGAUCACAUGAUGGCAUCAUUGAGUGAUUAAAACUACGGUGGUUGAGGAUGAGCAUGCGCAUGAUUAGUUAGUUGGCGGGGUAACGGCCCACAAAGACGAUGAUCAUUAGGGGAACUGAGAGGUUGAUCCCCCACACUGACACUGGGAUACGGGCCAGACUCCUACGGGAGGCAGCAGUAGGGAAUAUUGGACAAUGGGUGCAAGCCUGAUCCAGCCAUGCCGCGUGCAGGAAGACGGCCUUCUGGGUUGUAAACUGCUUUUGCCAGGGGAUAAAAGACAUUACGUGUAAUGUAUUGCAUGUACUGUACGAAUAAGCAUCGGCUAACUCCGUGCCAGCCGCCGCCGUAACAC
rnacentral:rRNA from 1 species